GGGCCCCCGUGGGUUGCUGGGGCCUAAAGGGCCUUCUGGUCUUCCUGGACCUCCUGGUGUUCGUGGAAAUGAUGGUCCACAUGGUCCAAAAGGAAGCUUGGGGCCUCAAGGAGAGCCUGGUCCUCCAGGACAGCAGGGGGCUCCAGGAACACAGGGAAUGGCAGGGCCACAGGGUGCUAUUUGGACC